AAGUAAGUGACAGAGUGGUUAUGUGGUUAACUUGAAAUUAACCUACGUGGGUUCAAUUCCUUCCUUUCUUG
rnacentral:tRNA from 1 species